ACUAUUUUGACAGAAAUUGUAAUAAAUUUAGAAUUUAUGUAUGUAAAUAUUUAUUUACAAAUAGUA
rnacentral:tRNA from 1 species